CCUUGGGCUGCUGGAAGCCAUUCUGGCAGUCACUCAAAGGACAUCAAACAGUAAACGAAGCUUCAUUAUAUGGGAUUUGUAUAGCUUUAUGUAAAUUCUCAGAAAUGAAGAUUACCCCAUCUGCCCACACUUGAAAUGUGUGAGGGAUAAUGUAAAGACACAAUACCUAUUGAAGUCUUCGGAAAGAAAAGCAAUGAAAUCUUUAUCUUCAAUCCAGAGAGUCAAUGAACUUGAACUCCAGUAUGACUUCCACAGCAACAAGCUGUAACCACAGUUUCUAACAAUCUCCCAGGAGAAAGAGGAGAUGUUCAGCCUGGAAUACAAGCCCAAGGAGAGGCUGAUGCUGAUGCUGCUGGCACACCACAUACAGGCUGAGUGUGGUUUAUCAACCACAAGAUCAGUUCAAGGACUAUUACUCAAAGAGCAGCUUCUAUUUUGGGUGAAUAUAAACAUGGAUUCAAAAAUGCUGUGGAAGCCUCUAGCGUGACUUGAUGAACUUUGUGUUGUGGCCUUCAUUUUAAUCCCUAUCUAUUACUGUUCUUUUUCUUUGUAGUGUCUUUGGAUUAAGAAUAAACAACUUUUUUCAGCACCCAUCUAAGCCAGGACAUUUUGCAAGGGAA